GGUACACACUGCUACUCCACCUGGGAGCUGUAAUUUACGUAAGCCUCAGCCGGGACCACAUGCUUACUUGACCGCACAUUCCUAUUGUAAUGACAUCAGCUGGCGUGACCUUGCAAAGCAAUGCAAUCUUUGGCCAGGUGGGUUACCUAAUUGGCAACAAGCAGGUUUAGAAGGGCUGGGAACAUGACAGUGUUCCGUAAAAUUCCUGACAGCUCCCAAUUUAGCGAAUAACCCUGGCAUUAUAAAAAAGAUAGGUCAAUGUGACUAGCAUUAUACAUUUGUAUUUCACAGUCAAUAAUACAAUUUCUGCACCAUUAUUGCACCAUUACCUAUGCAUGUUAUUUUAUGUGUUCCAGGACUACACGAGAAUCUGGAAAGUAAACUUGUGGUCUCACUUAUUAUACCAUAUGUUCAUGUUAAAUAUGUGUUUAUUCCACUUUAUUACUUAACAUUAAAUCACUGUUGUUGUGUAAUAUUUUGGUUACUUUUUGGUGAAGAGUUAAAUAAUUUCAAAUGCCAGCUUCUUGGACUCUCUAAUCUAGUAUUGCCAUAUAUUGGAUCAUUGCACAUACCCUUGUCCACAGACCUCCUUUAUGUGGGGGCAUUGAGUGGAUAUAUGUAAUAUCUCGCUCACUAGCUAGGAAGUACAUUAUAUCUCAAUCACCAACUAUAAACACUAUAUAUUAAAUUUCAUUGUUUGUCCUUCCUUGUACCACUUUUGGUAGGCACUAACCACUGCGGACCACCCACAAGACUUGAGAUGAUAUGACCCAGUUGCCUGCCCAUCACUGUCUGGCUCUUCUCAAAGUCACUCAGAACUUUUCGUUUGCCCGUUUUUGCUGCUUCCAACACAUCAAAUUCAAGAACUGACUGUUCACUUGCUGCCUAAUAUAUCCCAACCCUUGACAGGUGCCAUUGUAACAAUAUAAUGAAUGUUAUUCACUUCACCUGUCAGUGGAUUUCAUGUUGUGGUUUAUCAGUGUAUACAUAUAUCCUUGGAGAUGAAGUUAG